rnacentral:sRNA from 1 species
GAUAGGGUUCAUGUGAAUCAUUACUCCUUACCCAGGCAGUAAUGUUCCCGAAGUUUUCUCUUCGUUCUAUGUUUCAUGGUAGUUUAACCUUAUUAACUCUUCUGCAGGCUUUUUGUACACUUAAAAAGAAAACUCUUUAACUCUUGGUAUUUACUUUUUUCUGGAGCUGGAGGAGGGAAUGAUAUUCAGUGGUGUUUUUCUCAGGUGAAAGGAGCAGUAGAUGAUGAUGUAGCAGAAGCAGAUAUAAUUUCUACAGUAGAAUUUAAUCAUUCUGGAGAAUUACUAGCAACAGGAGAUAAAGGUGGUAGAGUCGUCAUCUUUCAACAAGAGCAGGAGAACAAAAUCCAGUCUCAUAGCAGAGGAGAAUAUAAUGUUUACAGCACCUUCCAGAGCCAUGAACCAGAGUUUGACUACUUGAAAAGUUUAGAAAUAGAAGAAAAGAUCAACAAAAUUAGGUGGUUACCCCAGAAAAAUGCUGCUCAGUUUUUAUUGUCUACCAAUGAUAAAACAAUAAAAUUAUGGAAAAUCAGUGAAAGGGACAAAAGACCAGAAGGGUAUAACUUGAAAGAGG